rnacentral:lncRNA from 1 species
UAACAUUCAAGUACAAGGACUCUGUACGUGUAGCUAUAUGAAACCCACACUGGGAAUUCUAGCCUGGGCAGUUGUGGCUCACAAUUAGAGUGUUGAAGCAUAGAGCUGCUUAGUGUUACGAUGGCAAGAUAAGGGCUCCUGUUUGCAGGUACAAGAUUCAAUAGUUUGGCGUCUUCAAACAGCACCAUUUUCUUUUUCUUCCUUCCAAAAUAAAACAAGUAAACAGAAAUAAACAGCUACAGAUUGAAUGCACUGACUGCUUAACUGUAUUAGGUGGCUUACAGAAACGUGGUCUCACUAUUACAUAUAUCACUGGCUUCCUGGACUCUUGAGUUACCACCAGGGCUAAAGCCACCAUGGGUAAGGGGACAGCUGUACUAUUGUAGUAGGAAAUGCAAAAAACAUACCUUAGGGACUUGGAACUUGACUCAGAUCAGCCACUUGGGGGAAGCAAGUAUGCCCUUAGGUGUGAAAGAUUGGUCACAUCUCUUCAAGAUUCUCAAGGGUGCCUGUUAUUUUAUUGCAGAUCCUGGUUUAAAAGUCUGAAUUUUACAAAGAAAAACUGGCCUUAGUUUUUGGUCUAAGUUGUAAAACACAGUCAGGUAAAUGAUGGUAUGGUUGGCCCACCUGGGAUUUCUGUUCUUCAUGUGUAUCAAAUAUAUUCAAAGACACCAAAGCAAGCCAAGGAAUUUUAACUUUAAAUUGUUGUUACUGUCGUGCUGUUGAGUGUCAGUUGUCUGUAACCUUAAAUCCUGCCUGGCAGUCUAAAGCCACUUAGCCUCCCUCCCUUUCCUGUUUCUGGACCAUCAUUCUCUUGCAAUUUCUGGUUGCACUGUGAUAGCACAAUUGCAUCCAGUGCAAUGUGUGGUAGCAUUUAUAAAAUCACAUUGCUGAAGGACGAUCGGUUCUUAAUGACUUCAUUACUCAGACACUUAGGCUUCAAUAUGUGGCUGGAGAGAAGGCAACCCUGAGACCUCGAGGCAAGAUGCUAUAAAUAUAAGGUAUCAUUUCCUGACCUGCUGAGCACGGCAGGUAUUGAUCAUAGCUGCUGUGCAGAGAACAGGUGGAAAGAGACUGGCCAUGGUGGCAGGAAGGGGUAUUUGGUGGCAUAGAUUAUUAGUAAUGACUGAUUAGGUAGAAAAAUGAUUGUGGGUAUAUUCCAGUUUUGUGUUUGAAGUGAUGGAAAGAUACAACAAUUUAAAGCCAUACUGCAAACUCUUAAGUGCUGGGUGGAAAACGUGUAUGUUUAUAUUUUUGAGAUAGAAGUGUAGUUCAAACAAAAUGACUGAUUUCUUUUAUUUUCUAGCUACAUGUAGCACUUAGUACAUAUUCAGACACAGUUAACAAAUGUGGACCAAAGAACUUCUUAUUGAUGAAGCUAUUAGAGCUCUUUGGUUGAAGAAUAUUCAUUUUACACAUACUCUGAUUAUUUCUUUGAUUUUAUGUUUUUUGGUUCACCAUGUUGCAACAGUCUACUCCCAUGGUUUACUGUGCUGCCCUGGUUAUUUUUUGUUUGUUUGAUUGUUUGUUUUAGGGGAAAAGUUACCACUUAACUCCAUACUGAUUUUAAAAAAGCCAUUUAUACGCUCAGAACUUCUUUUUAAAAUGUGACUUGGCUAAUUUGUAGUUCAACCAGAAAAAUGUUGGAACUCAGUGCGUGAUGGUGCGCAUUAAUGAGAAACUACGUUACAAUCCUUAUUCUUCAUUUUGGAUGUCUGCCGUGGUGCUGUGGUGGACAGAAGCAUUUGGGCUUCUGUUGGUGUACUUCUGUCACUUCUGUCACACACAUCCUCGAGUGUCUUAUGCCAGGUUUCCCUUUCUUCCCUUUAACUCAGUCAAAGGGCCCAGGAACUGGGUGGUGAGUGUCUAGUGGGUGAGAAGGAGGUCCACUCACAGCAGGUGCCCUUUGGGCACAGUGUUCAGGCAGCAGGGAGGAAACUCUGGUGCCUCUAAACACCAUUGUAAUACUACAUGGUUCAGAUUCCCUGGCAAUUAACCAAGGUCAUUUUCCUAGGGUUUCUGAGGCUAGACACAGUCACACCAGGGGUGCUGGUCCUGGUGGCUGAGACCCACUUUCCCACUCUGACUAAAAUUUGCAUUUGGUGUACACCUUGAGCAUUGCAAACAACACAUGAAAGUCAGAAAACACCCCCCCCCUCCCCCGUAGGCUAUGGAAUCCACUUCUUGCUCAGGAAUGUAAGUUAGAUGCUCAAGGUCACAGUGAAUCUAAAAAAACGCUGUGCUGGUCUGGAGUGCUGGGUACAUUUGAAAGGGCUGAGCUCUGAGUACUGGCCACUUGUCAGUGGUCUUCCUAAUGUCUAACUAUAGUCAUUCAAGCCCAACAUGGCCCUUUCUACAGCUUGAUCACAAUGUGGAGUGUCAGAGUUCCAUUGAAGAAUAGAUAUUUACUCAAGCUCUUGAAUUAAAAAUCGAUUGGGAAAGGGCUUCUCUGUGAUUUUUAUCUGGCAUUUUCUCUGGUUAUAUAUCGAUUUUCUAAGCCCCUGUUUGAAUUUGGUCAUUUGGAUUUCCAUCUGUGUUUUUUAAAAAUCAGCCAGUUAAUCAAUCAAUCUACCAGCCAGUCAAUCAAUAUCAGUCAGUAUGCCUGGCACUGUGCUAAGUAGGUUACAAAUAUGGGCUCAUUAUUUUCUAUGCAUGAACCUUAGGUGACAGGUGUAGGUCAUUGUCCUUACUUUAUGAAUGUGGACACUGAUGGUUCUUCUUCUUACAAAGUUGACAAUGUGUUUUUGUUUGUUUGAUUUUGGUUUUUUGUUUGUUUUUUUUUUCAAACAUAGCCUGUAAAGUUCUUAAAGGAUGGAGGCAGGCAGAGAGUGCUGUCGAAAGAGAAAGAGGGUAAGAAAGAAGUACUACAGAGUCCCUAGGGCAAGUCAGAGAAAGCCCAGGAAAGAAGAAUAAUCCACAGUGAGGCCCCUCCAUGAGACAGUGGGAAUAAUAGACAUUUCUGUGGCAUAUUUGCAUGAAUUCAGCCAAGCUAACACCAGGGGAAAUACAUGUUCUUAUAGCAUAUGAAUUCACAUAAUAAAUGAAACAUCAAACCCCUUCAGAAGUUCUUCUUUUAAUUAAUUAAUGUAUUCUAGAGUCUACGAAGAGAAUACUAAUAGAGCCAAGUGUGGUGACAUAUGCCUGUAAUCCCAGCACUAAGGAGACUGAGUUUGAGGUAAAUGUCAGAUUCAUGGUAAACUUAUAAGUAGUCUAGCCUGGGCUACAGCGUGAUACCUCGCUCCUUUAAGUGUAGCCUGGGCUACACAGCAUGAGCCCUCGCUCCUUUAAGAACAUUACAGGAUGUGUCUG